rnacentral:rRNA from 1 species
GACGAACGCUGGCGGCGUGCUUAACACAUGCAAGUCGAACGGAAAGGCCCUGCUUUUGUGGGGUGCUCGAGUGGCGAACGGGUGAGUAACACGUGAGUAACCUGCCCUUGACUUUAGGAUAACUUCAGGAAACUGGGGCUAAUACCGGAUAGGAGCUCCUGCUGCAUGGUGGGGGUUGGAAAGUUUCGGCGGUUGGGGAUGGACUCGCGGCUUAUCAGCUUGUUGGUGGGGUAGUGGCUUACCAAGGCUUUGACGGGUAGCCGGCCUGAGAGGGUGACCGGCCACAUUGGGACUGAGAUACGGCCCAGACUCCUACGGGAGGCAGCAGUGGGGAAUAUUGCACAAUGGGCGGAAGCCUGAUGCAGCAACGCCGCGUGCGGGAUGACGGCCUUCAGGUUGUAAACCGCUUUCGCCUGUGACGAAGCGUGAGUGACGGUAAUGGGGAAAGAAGCACCGGCUAACUACGU